GACGAACGCUGGCGGCGUGCUUAACACAUGCAAGUCGAACGGAAAGGCCCUGCUUUUGUGGGGUGCUCGAGUGGCGAACGGGUGAGUAACACGUGAGUAACCUGCCCUUGACUUUGGGGUAACUUCAGGAAACUGGGGCUAAUACCGGAUAGGAGCUCCUGCUGCAUGGUGGGGGGUGGAAAUUUUCGGCGGUUGGGGAUGGACUCGCGGCUUAUCAGCUUGUUGGUGGGGUAGUGGCUUACCAAGGCUUUGACGGGUAGCCGGCCUGAGAGGGUGACCGGCCACAUUGGGACUGAGAUACGGCCCAGACUCCUACGGGAGGCAGCAGUGGGGAAUAUUGCACAAUGGGCGGAAGCCUGAUGCAGCAACGCCGCGUGCGGGAUGACGGCCUUCGGGUUGUAAACCGCUUUCGCCUGUGACGAAGCGUGAGUGACGGUAAUGGGUAAAGAAGCACCGGCUAACUACGUG
rnacentral:rRNA from 1 species